rnacentral:rRNA from 1 species
UACUAGAGUAGCACUCGCAUAUCAAUAAGCGGAGGAAAAGAAACUAACAAGGAUUCCCCUAGUAACGGCGAGUGAAGCGGGGAGAGCUCAAAUUUGAAAUCUUAAAGGGUUUCCCUUUACGAAUUGUAGUUUAAAGAAGUGUUUUCUGUUGAGGUUUUGGUAAAAGUUCUUUGGAAUAGGACAUCAUAGAGGGUGAGAAUCCCGUAUUUGACCUUUACUUUCAACUUUGUGAUACACUUUCAAAGAGUCGGAUUGUUUGGGAAUGCAGUCCAAAAUGGGUGGUAAAUUUCAUCUAAAGCUAAAUAUUGGCGAGAGACCGAUAGCGAACAAGUACCGUGAGGGAAAGAUGAAAAGAACUUUGAAAAGAGAGUUAAACAGUACGUGAAAUUGUCAAAAGGGAAGCGUUUGACACCAGUGUUGUUUUUCUGAAAAUCAAUUAAAGAACUGUUUAUGCUAAGUUGUUUAGACUUUAUCAGCUAUCUGCUUAGUUUUGAGCUUUUCUUUAAUGCACUUUUCAGUUAACAAGUCAACAUCAAUUUCUUUUGCUGUAAAAAAGCUUGAGGAAGGUAGCUUGAGAUUCGUCUUAAGUGUUUAUAGCCUCUUGCCUAUGCAGUCGGAGAGAUUGAGGUCUGCAGCGUAGAUCCUUCGGGGCUAAAUGCAUUUGUGCUAAGUUAUAGCAUUUUAUAGACAACUUGUUGACUAUGAUUUGUCUUGUAGCUUACUCGCUUAUGUUAUUUUACCUACGCUUAGGAUGUUGAACUCUAUCACACACAG